CAGAUUUCCCUGAGGAACCAUCAUCUCCGGUAAAGGGAUUUUAAACGACUAAUAAUCCAAGGCAAAGACAAACAGGAAGAGGAAGCAGGUAGGCCAGGAGAGUGGGGACCUCAUCUUAGCACCACAAUAGGAGUCCUCUUUAGGAAGAAGUGACAUUACAAAAGGCCGAAGAGAGAAAAACUGGAAAUAGAGGGGCUCACUCAAGUGUGAAGAUCUGUCCUGAAAGUACUCAAUGUUUUCAUCUUUGGGCAGAAAAGCAGCUGAAAUCAUUUCUAGGAUUCCACCUCUCCAGGUAUCAUGAUGAUUAAGUACAGUGUCAUUGUCCGUACAUAUCAACAAAGAGAAAGGUAUUUCCCUUCUUGCUUUAAUUUUUAAUUCUUGGGACUCUCAAGCUGAAGUCAUUCCUAAUUUAGAGCUUGGUGGUUCCCAUAGAUGAAGAUCAUUUAAAUAUGAACACAUGUGACCAUGAGUGAAUGUCAGCUAAAACAAUGAACAAAGAUCUAGAUUUCUCAAGGACUUCAGUUAUUAAAUUGGACACAAUGAGAAAGUGGAUUUCUGUAAGCCAGGAGUAGUGUUCUCACCAAAAACCGACCACACUGGCACCCUGACCAGUCUUCCAGGCUCCAGAAUUAGGAGUCCCGAGCGAAUGUGUGUUUUGUCACAUAUUAGGCAGGAAAAUGUUCACUGAAGCCCUGCAGGGCACCUGGCGUCCACUGGUCCAGAGCAAAGGCGUAUUAUUGUUCUUCAACACGCGUGCAUCAGCUGGAACGGCCCCUUCUAAGGGAAACAGUGUGUGACUGGAAAAUCUCUCAAAGCAAAGACUUGCCAAUUGGAGUUAAAGACUGGGGAACCAAAGGCAUCCAUCAAGCCACACCAAAGAUCCC